UACGUAGGUGCAAGCGUUGUCCGGAAUUAUUGGGCGUAAAGAGCUCGUAGGCGGUUUGUCGCGUCUGCUGUGAAAACCCGAGGCUCAACCUCGGGCCUGCAGUGGGUACGGGCAGACUAGAGUGCGGUAGGGGAGAUUGGAAUUCCUGGUGUAGCGGUGGAAUGCGCAGAUAUCAGGAGGAACACCAAUGGCGAAGGCAGAUCUCUGGGCCGUAACUGACGCUGAGGAGCGAAAGCAUGGGGAGCGAACAGG
rnacentral:rRNA from 1 species